UAUUAGGCUAUCGCAUAGUUUACAUUUUCCUGACAGCAUAUCAUGACACGCAUUGUGUACAACAAUCACUCAAUAAAUGUUCGAUCUGUCAUCAUUACUCCAUUUGGGCCUACGCUGUAAAAAAUUCAUAAAAAUAGGCGGCCUGUAUCAACACUCUCUUAAUUGUCCAAGACCACCAAACCACCUGAUUUUCUUACUUUAAAAAACAGUCCAUACGAGAAGAAAAAAAAAGAGAUCUUGAACGCAAGUUCUCGAAACAGUCCGAGGGCUGUUCUUGAAAGCGCAUUCUCUGCUGCGCUUAGGCAGUCACAAGACUUGGACAUCCAUGAACAAAAACAAAGACACUACAAUUAUCCGACAUAGGUCAGGGUCAAGCCCAUAUGCCACUAAAAAACUCUGCAUUUGAACAGGUCUUGCAAUUUUGGAAACUUAUUUCACCCGCCGUUGCGCGCUUCGGAUGAUAUUUUCCCCAAUGGAAAUCUCAGCAUUAAUCCUUCCCAUCCAAACUUGACAUUGCAACAUUGUUUUUCCUUAGCAGGAAUGAGAAGUGAAGUGGUGUUCUUAGCCCACUUUCAGUGAUGGGUUUGGACGUAAAGGAGGGGCGCAUGCCAAAGGUAGCGACCACCAUGGAAUAAAUUAAACCAAAGAUAUCAACAGUUGCCUACCACCCACUCGAAAUCGAUUGUAUUAGAAGCUCGCUGAACGUAUAAAACGGGACGUAUGAUUUCAAGACCGGCUGCAGACAACGGAAUCUUCGCUCAAUAAGCUACACAACCGACAACGCCUAGAGAGAUUUGAUACAGACAACUCGUGUCCACUUUUCAGGACAUAAGGAUCAUUUAAUAACUUAAAUCAGAAAAGCCAUGCAGGCAGAAAGGAAAUGGCACAUACUUUUGAGUAUAAUCCUUAUGCUGAUCACCUCGAGCCAGUGCAUGGACAGCAAGGAAGUGAAGCAGAAAGGGAGAAGGACCCUGCUGGACCUUAUUUUACAGGUUAUCGGGGACAGCCAAUCAGGGGACAAGCCUUCAGUCUCCAGGCGCUAUAACAGUGGCCUCUUCCCUACAGCCCAAGAGAUGAGGUUCUCCUCUCGAGAAAAGCCUUUAUAUGUUCCUAGGCUGGAUAACAGUAGACCCAUAGGAAAUGGCACACUAUGAUUUGAAGAGUUCCCUAUUGGCACCCUGAAAGAGCCACAAUCCAUCCUCUCACUUGGCUAGUGAGGUAUCGUAUCACCGCAUCAUAACAAAAGAUUAUCAAUGGCAUCACCAACCAAGUUGCCCAGGGGCGGAGGCUCAUUAGCAUACUAAACUUGUGAAUGAUUCAUUCAGUUCAGGACACAUUGCGGAAUCUCAAACCACGAAUGAUCCGCCUCCUCCAGCUUCUUGGACAGCCAGUGGUGAACGUCACAGGGAUGCAUCACAGAUAUUGUCCCAAGAGAUGUAAACCUGAAAGACAAGUUCAUAAAGCAUUUCACAGGACCAGUCAAGUUCUCAUCGGAAUGUAGAACACAUUUUCAUCGACUCUAUCACAACACAAGGGAUUGUUCAAAACCAGCAUACUACAAAAGAUGUGCAAGAUUGCUAACACGGCUAGCAAUGAGUCCACUCUGCACACAAUUGUAGACAUUGCAUGUUCAAAAUAUUGAGAGGGGUCUAUGUUUUGCCAAGGAAGUGCCUUCAAUUUGCAGCAGUCACAUUAAGAACAUAGUAUUGUAAUUGUUUAUAGUAUUUUUUAUUUUUGUUGUUGAAACUGUAUGUAUAUGAAAAUGUUGACAGAUUUUAUUGGUUUUCUGAAAUAGAUUAGCAUUUUAUUUUCAUGUAUCAUGUCUUUUUAAGGAAACCUUAAUUUAAGAUUGAAUACACCUAUUUAUUGAAAUGUAUAUAAUUAUUCACAAUAAUUCUGAAAUAUUCAAUUAUUUUUCUUAAAGUUCUCAUCUGAUGAAGUGUGUGAAUUCAUCUCACUAAAUAUUAUUUGCUUUGUCAAUAUUACAUCUUUGAGACGGUCCCACCAUGGUCGUUUCUAUAUGUCUUUCACUGUCAUUGUCUACAUUGCAUUUAAUUUGGCACUUGAACGAUUUCACACAAUGAAAACAUAUUGAAUGAUGAUGAUGGUAAUAAUGCACUGCAGUACUGAACAAUAAAAAAAAUAUUCAAGCACA